rnacentral:tRNA from 1 species
GAGGUUAUAGCUCAGUGUUAGGGUGCCUGCUUAGCAUGUAUAAGGUCCUGGGUUCAAUCCCCAGUACCUCCA